GCUUGUCCCUCAAACUAUUUUAUAAGCAUCCGAUGUUUUGGCUGCAGGGACGAUUUCCAGAUUAGUCUCGAUUACAUUUAUUUCUAAAGGAUCUCGGUGUGUUCUGAGCACACGCCUGAGAGCGGAGCCGGGUAGAGCUGAGCAGAGCGCGGCGAGCUAAGUUUUCUCACGGGCUCCUGUCCCCCUGAAGCCCCCUUGGCGCCUGCCCUGAGCGUUCGCAGGCAACCGAGGCAGCGUUCUUCGGGAUGUGCCAAGCGCCGCCCGCCCGCUCGCUCCUCCAGCUCGGCCCCUUCCCCUGCAACAGACCACACGGUUCAAGACGACGAUGUGACAGAGAGAAAACAAGCCGCUCUCUUGUCUGUGACCCGCGAGGCGACCGCGGCGAGCGGGCACCAGCUCCCCACUCCGAUUAGGCAAUUAGCUGAUUGCUGCCUGCCCGCAGCCCGAGCGAGCGGUGCGCGGGGAUCUCGCUGCCUGCCCACCUCUCCUGCAAACAGAGGCACGUUCUCCGACUUUGAUAGCUCCCUGGGUUCCUGUGAAAAACAACCACAGCGUUUCCAGAGUGUGUUUCUCAAAUACCAGCGUCAGGGGAUCGCAGAAUUACAGCAGCAAAUGUUACGAGGUUGACACUGCUGUUCAGGUGAAGGAGAGUUCAGAGUCUCAGAGAGCAGCAGCAGCUUGUGCUUCUGGGAAAAUGGAAGGAUGACUCCCAGGCAGCCGAUCCUGCCACUCCGUAAAAUGGAAGAACCUUGGCUCCCCGUGUGAAUUCUCUUUGUGAUUUGGAAGACAAAUACCUCUGCUGAGUUGUCUAUGAACAGGUACUGCAGAUGGUUGGACCCUGGUUCUUACAGGCUGUGCUGGAAGUGAGGGAAGUGAUUUCACUCUCGUUCAGCCCUCCUAAGUGGUUAGGUAAGGGUGGGCUCUUGGAAGAUAAUGAAUGAUGUGCAGUAUAAGUAACUCUGAGGGACAGUAGGGGUGGUAGGUUACCAUGUUAGGUCUCACUGUGAAUAGAUAAUGUAUUAUAUAAAGUUGUAUAAAGUCAUUGUGCAACUUGGAGAUGUAUCACCAUCCCUUUGGCUGUAAGGCAGUGCUGAAUACUUUUUCUUAGGGAAUCCCAGGCAAUAGGGAAUUCCUCAGAAUCUCUUCUCAUCUUGAUAUUGGAAUCCAAGGGCUACUUUAAUAAGAUCAAAGGACUUCAAGGGAAGCAAGAAAAAGAGGGUACCCAAAUACCUUCCAGAGUGUUUUGCUCCUCUUGAGAAUUCUAGAUAAUGAUGCAUGACCCACUCCUUUGUUCAGAGAUGUCAGCCUGUGAAUCAGAGGCUAAAGAUCCCU
rnacentral:lncRNA from 1 species